GUCGAACGCUGGCGGCGUGCCUAACACAUGCAAGUCGAACGAAGUGGCGAACGGGUGAGUAACGCGUAAUCAACCUGCCCUUCAGAGGGGUACAACAGUUGGAAACGAUUGCUAAUACCGCAUACUGAAGGAGGGGAUUGUGUCUGAUUAGCUAGUUGGAGGGGUAACGGCCUACCAAGGCGAUGAUCAGUAACCGGUCUGAGAGGAAGAACGGGCAAAUUGGGACUGGAACACGGCCCAGACUCCGACGGGAGGCAGCAGUGGGGAAUCUUCCGAAAUGGAGGAAAGUCUGAUGGAGCAACGCCGCGGGAGGGAUGACGGCCUUCGGGUUGUAAAGCUCUGUUAAGCGGGAAGCGGUACCGGAAUAGAAAGCCACGGCUAACUACGUGCCAACAGCCGCGGUAAUAC
rnacentral:rRNA from 1 species